rnacentral:misc_RNA from 1 species
GAAUAUUGCUGCCAGGUGGUAUUUUAGCUGCUAGAUAUUUGAAACAUAUCAAGGGAGAUGGGUGGUUUCAGAUUCAUGUUUAUCUACAGUAUUCCGGAUUAUCGAUUGUCUUCCUUGGUUUUCUCUUUGCUGUAGCCGAACUUCGCGGUUUGAGUUUCAGCUCCCUUCAUGUUAAGUUUGGAAUGCUGGCCAUAGUUCUUGCUAUUGCACAACCCAUUAAUGCAUACCUACGACCUAAGAAACCUGGAGCAGGAGAGGAGGUUUCUUCAAACCGGCGUGUUUGGGAGUAUAUCCAUGUCAUUGUGGGCAGGGGUGCCAUUGUUGUCGGCAUUGCAGCUCUUAUAACAGGAAUGAAGCAUCUAGGAGAGAGGUACGGUGAUGAAGAUGUUCAUAGGCUGAUGUGGGCUCUAAUUCUGUGGAUUCUUGUUGGCGUUUUGACAGUGAUGUAUCUGGAGUAUCGUGAGAGGAAGAAAAGGCGAGAUAGAAUAUCCGGCAGAAGCAAUUGGGUUCUGGGUAGUGGUGAGGAGGAGGACACUGACCUCCUCAGUCCAAGCCAGGCAAUGGCAGAGAAAGACGCAGCUUCGGCUGACUGCAUGGAAGUUCAGCUAGAACCAAUGGGCAGAUAAAGAUUCACAUGUUCUGUAAAUCUGUUAUCACAAAUUUUGGGGUUGUUUCUAGUCAACAGUUGCCUGUUUUGAUACAAGGAUUCUUGAUGA